AUGAACGCUAGCUACAGGCUUAACACAUGCAAGUCGAGGGGAAACGACAUCGAAAGCUUGCUUUUGAUGGGCGUCGACCGGCGCACGGGUGAGUAACGCGUAUCCAACCUGCCCAUCACUUGGGAAUAACCUAGCGAAAGUAACACUAAUACCCAAUGAUAUCCCACGAAGGCAUCGGAAUGGGAUUAAAGAUUUAUCGGUGAUGGAUGGGGAUGCGUCUGAUUAGCUUGUUGGCGGGGUAACGGCCCACCAAGGCAACGAUCAGUAGGGGUUCUGAGAGGAAGGUCCCCCACAUUGGAACUGAGACACGGUCCAAACUCCUACGGGAGGCAGCAGUGAGGAAUAUUGGUCAAUGGGCGAGAGCCUGAACCAGCCAAGUAGCGUGCAGGAAGACGGCCCUAUGGGUUGUAAACUGCUUUUAUAAGGGAAUAAAGUGGGUCACGUGUGACUUUUUGCAUGUACCUUAUGAAUAAGGACCGGCUAAUUCCGUG
rnacentral:rRNA from 1 species